CUACGUUAGGCUUUGGGUAACCAAUGUAGUAUUAUCUUCAUAAGAGGGGAAAAAAUCGCGCGUUCUUCUCUCACACAAAUCACGCUUUCUCCUCCCAUUCUUCUCUCGUAAAACAAGCAGGCACCGAAACCCAAACCCUAUUCUUCACAUGUUCAAAUCAUUCUUCUCAAGCUCAAGAGCCAUUCUCCUCACAUCUAAACCCUAUUCAAAGCCCCAUUACUUGUUUGUGGUAAAGUCGAUUGAAAAAGUGAAGCAAUCACGUGGAAGACGAAGCACCCUCCUUCCAAGUCGCACUGCCGCUACACUAUCAUUGUCCUCCCUGGCGUUGGCAUUAGCCCCGAAGUCAUCUCUAUCGCCAAAGACGUUCUUUUCCUUGCCGGUUCCUUCGAAGGGAUCAAAUACGAGUUCCAAGAGAUGCUUUUGGGUGGAGCUGCAUUGGAUGCCAUGAGAGUUCCAUUGCUUGGGGAAACCCUUUCUGCCGCUAAGCAAUCCGAUGUUGUUUUACUUGGUGCCAUUGGAGGGCCUGAUGAUUCUACUGCUGUGGUUUGUCUUUCUUGUGACAAUCUUUCUCUGGAAUUGCAUCCUCAACAGGAACAACCUCCUUGUUGGUCUUUUCAAAACUCUUCGAUAUGAUUACCUAAAGCAAGCAUGCGUUGAAAGGAAAUUCCAUAAGCUACUUAGUCGUCUGCACAUUGACUUAAGCUCUGAUGAGAAAUAAGAAUAACUUUAGGGGGAGACGCACUUUUUGCAUAGUCUUUUUGCUUGUGCCAAAAAGGGGAGUAGAUUGUUGAUUUUGAAUUUUUUUUUUGAAUGAUUUCUUUUUACUAUUUUAUACAAUAUGCUAUGAUAUAUUUGUUACUAUGACUACAUUUUUUUCUCAAUGCACAUAUAAUGCC